rnacentral:rRNA from 1 species
UGGGGAAUAUUGCACAAUGGGGGGAAACCCGUGAUGCAGCGACGCCGCGUGAGCGAAGAAGGUUUUCGAAUCGUAAAGCUCUGUCCUAUGAGAAGAUAAUGACGGUAUCAUAGGAGGAAGCCCCGGCUAAAUACGUGCCAGCAGCCGCGGUAAUACGUAUGGGGCGAGCGUUGUCCGGAAUUAUUGGGCGUAAAGGGUACGUAGGCGGUUUAUUAAGUCAGGUGUGAAAGCGUGAGGCUUAACCUCAUUAAGCACUUGAAACUGAUAGACUUGAGUGAAGGAGAGGAAAGUGGAAUUCCUAGUGUAGCGGUGAAAUGCGUAGAUAUUAGGAGGAAUACCGGUGGCGAAGGCGACUUUCUGGACUUUUACUUGACGCUCAGGUACGAAAGCGUGGGGA